AGUCAACAUGCCCAGAGGACGUGGAUAACCUCGGGAAACUGAGGAUAAACCGCGAUAGGUCAUAAUAUCUGGAAUGAUUUAUGGUUUAAAUCUAUAUGGCCUCUGGAUUGGACUGCGGCCGAUCAGGCUGUUGGUGAGGUAAUGGCCCACCAAACCUAAAACCGGUACGGGCUCUGAGAGGAGAAGCCCGGAGAUGGGCACUGAGACAAGGGCCCAGGCCCUAUGGGGCGCAGCAGGCGCGAAAACUCUGCAAUAAGCGAAAGCUUGACAGGGUUAUUCUGAGUGAUUUCCGCUAAGGAAAUCUUUUGGCACCUCUAAAAAUGGUGCAGAAUAAGGGGUGGGCAAGCCUGGUGUCAGCCGCCGCGGUAAUACCAGCACCCCGAGUGGUCGGGACGAUUAUUGGGCCUAAAGCAUCCGUAGCCGGUUCUACAAGUCUUCCGUUAAAUCCACCUGCUUAACAGAUGGGCUGCGGAGGAUACUAUGGAGCUAGGAGGCGGGAGAGGCAAGCGGUACUUAGUGGGUAGGGGUAAAAUCCGUUGAUCCAUUGAAGACCACCAGUGGCGAAGGCGGCUUGCCAGAACGCACUCGACGGUGAGGGAUGAAAGCUGGGGGAGCAAACCGGAUUAGAUACCCGGGUAGUCCCAGCUGUAAACGAUGCAGACUCGGUGAUGAAUAGGCUUCGUGCCUAUUCAGUGCCGCAGGGAAGCCGUUAAGUCUGCCGCCUGGGGAGUACGGUCGCAAGACUGAAACUUAA
rnacentral:rRNA from 2 species